rnacentral:lncRNA from 1 species
GAAGAAAGAUCAAUGGGAGGAGGGGGACAGCAUGGCAGAUUUAAUUAAUUACUGCAUAUUAAAAUGUUUGUUUACAGUAACAAACAGCUACAAGAGGUCUGAUGUUAAUUAAUUUACAGCAUUUUUCACCAGUCCCUUUGCCGUUGCUGGCAGUCAAGGAGGCAACACUGUGGCAGAAUACCUGGGAAAUGUUGGCCAUAGGGUCCCUGGAGCUUGCUACUUUGCUUUCAGAACUGCUUUGCAGGCCAUUUAGGAGGAAGCAAGUGCAACCCCAGAAGUUAAUUUUCAGCUGAGCAAGAAACUUCGCUCUCCAGGGGAACGAGGAAGUACAUGACUCCAAAGGCUUUGUACAAGCACCAGCCAUCGAGAAGAUCAAAACAUUCAGCUGUCUAGCUGUACUCCAUACCCAGUGCCAGGAAGGAGACUAGUAACUGUGCCUGAGGUGGGAAAUGUUCCCGCAUACCACAAACACCAACGCAGCAGGGGAUGCAGAAAAGUUAAUUUUGGGUGGGAGAAUGAAGAUUCUUCAGUGUGAAUUCCAGGUUGUUGAAAAAAAUUGUAUUGCACCGGAG